AUUGAAACACCAGAUCUCAAAUAAUCAUUGAAGUUAAGCAACUUCAAGCCUGGUCAGUACCAAGAUGGAUGACUGCUUGGGAAUUCCAGGUGCUGUAAG